CUGGGCCUUGGCGUCUUCCAGCCCCAUCAGGGCUGUGAGGGCCUCUGGCUGUCCCCACCUCCCACCUCGUCACUCAUCUUUGAGUGCCAGGCCCCAGGUACCCUUCUCCCAUCCCGUGCCCUGCCUCGCCACCACGCCUCCCUACACCUACCCACAAGGCUGACUGGGGGGGGCUGCACGGAGAGGUGCCCAUCUGGCCUGUGGGCUUGGGCCUGGCGGGGCCUCCUAUCCAUCAGUCCAUCAAUCUAGUCAGAUGGGGAGCUCCAGGGCCAGCCAGUGACUGCUCUGUGGGGUGUCCCGGCCGGUGGCCCUGCUGCAGCCAGCUCAGCUCCCAGGUGCCAGUCACAGGAAGGGACGACCUCGAGAGGGCGGUGGCUGCCUGGAGCAUUGCCAUGGGGGUCCCAGGAGGCCGGAGUAGUCACACAGCCCCUACACACUGUCACCCAAUGCUAGGAGCCACUGCUUGAGGAAGCCUGGGUUUGUCACUGCCUGCAGCCACAGACUACUCCUGCCUCAAAACGACGUCACGACACUGCAGAGCAGGCCAGCUCCAGCUGCACAUGGCCGCCUCCAUCUCUACACAACUUUGAGUCACAGAAAUGUCACGUGACCUGCAGAAGCCAAGGGUCCUCCUCCUUGGGGGUCUCUUUUACUGACUCUGUGACUCCCAGCCGGGGAUCUUCUGCCCCCAGGGGACACCGGGCCAUGUCUGGGGACAUCUGUGGUUGUCUUGACUAGGGGAGCUCCUGGCAUGGAGUGGGUGGAGGCCAGGGAUGCUGCUCGGCACCCUGCAGUGCCCAGGACGGCCCCACCCUUGAGAACGGUUCAGUCCCAAUGUCCACAGGGCCCAGGGGGAGACACCCAGCCCAACUCACAGAAGACCCAGGACAGGUGAUGGUGGUCUAUGUCAACCACCUGUUCAUGAGAGAGACACAGGGAGGAGAGGGGGCACCUGCCAACCGUUUCAUGCGCUGGUAGAGACCGGGAAUAGCUUGGACAGAUUGUUCCUGGAUAACACAAGACAGCUUCCUGUUUAAAAAACAAAACUCCGGCCCGGAGCAGGGGCUCACGCCUAUAAUCCCAGCACUUUGGGAGGCUGAGGCGGGCAGAUUACUUGAGCCCACAAGUUGGAGACCAGCCUGACUAACAUGGCGAAACCCCGUCUCUACUAAAAAUACAAAAAUUAGCUGGGUGUGGACGCAGGUGCCUGUAAUCCCAGCAACUUGGGAGGCCGAGGCAGGAGAAUCGCUUGAACCCGGGAGGCAGAGGUUGCAGUGAGCCGAGAUUGCACUACUGCACUCCAGCCUGGGCGACAGAGCAAGACUUGGUCUCAAAAACACACACAAAAAAC
rnacentral:lncRNA from 10 species